UGGGGAAUAUUGGACAAUGGGCGAAAGCCUGAUCCAGCCAUGCCGCGUGUGUGAAGAAGGUCUUCGGAUUGUAAAGCACUUUAAGUUGGGAGGAAGGGCAUUAACCUAAUACGUUAGUGUUUUGACGUUACCGACAGAAUAAGCACCGGCUAACUCUGUGCCAGCAGCCGCGGUAAUACAGAGGGUGCAAGCGUUAAUCGGAAUUACUGGGCGUAAAGCGCGCGUAGGUGGUUUGUUAAGUUGGAUGUGAAAUCCCCGGGCUCAACCUGGGAACUGCAUUCAAAACUGACUGACUAGAGUAUGGUAGAGGGUGGUGGAAUUUCCUGUGUAGCGGUGAAAUGCGUAGAUAUAGGAAGGAACACCAGUGGCGAAGGCGACCACCUGGACUAAUACUGACACUGAAGUGCGAAAGCGUGGGGAGCAAACA
rnacentral:rRNA from 1 species